rnacentral:misc_RNA from 1 species
GAUGAAGAACGUAGCGAAAUGCGAUACGUAGUGUGAAUUGCAGAAUUCAGUGAAUCAUCGAAUCUUUGAACGCACAUUGCACCUCUCGGUAUUCCGGGAGGUAUGCCUGUUCGAGCGUCAUUUGUACCCUCAAGCUCUGCUUGGUGUUGGGUGUUUGUUCCGCCUCUGUGUGUGAACUCGCCUCAAAACAAUUGGCAGCCGGCGUACUUGUUUCGGAGCGCAGCACAUUUUGCGAUCCAGAUCAACGUACAGCGGCAUCCAAGAAGCCUUAUUUAACGCUCUUGACCUCGGAUCAGGUAGGGAUACCCGCUGAACUUAAGCAUAUCAUAGCGGAGGA